CCGUUUAACUCGUCUCCUCCUCGAAGGAGACUACGGGAG
rfam:Paramesorhizobium deserti strain A-3-E Scaffold2, whole genome shotgun sequence.